GACAGAGGUGCCAAGCGUUAGGCGGAAUCACUGGGCUUAAAGCGUGUGUAGGCGGGCGGGCAAGUACCUUGUGAAAUCCCACGGCUCAACCGUGGAACUGCUGGGUAUACUGCUCGUCUUGAGCCAAUCAGGGGCGAGUGGAACAGACGGUGGAGCGGUGAAAUGCGUAGAUAUCGUCUGGAACGCCGAAGGUGAAAACAGCUCGCUGGGGUUGUGCUGACGCUGGGACACGAAAGCCAGGGGAGCGAACGGG
rnacentral:rRNA from 1 species